rnacentral:rRNA from 1 species
UCAGAUUGAACGCUGGCGGCAGGCCUAACACAUGCAAGUCGAACGGUAACAGGAAGAAGCUUGCUUCUUUGCUGACGAGUGGCGGACGGGUGAGUAAUUUCUGGGAAACUGCCUGAUGGAGGGGGAUAACUACUGGAAACGGUAGCUAAUACCGCAUAACGUCGCAAGACCAAAGAGGGGGACCUUCGGGCCUCUUGCCAUCGGACGUGCCCAGAUGGGAUUAGCUUGUUGGUGGGGUAACGGCUCACCAAGGCGACGAUCCCUAGCUGGUCUGAGAGGAUGACCAGCCACACUGGAACUGAGACACGGUCCAGACUCCUACGGGAGGCAGCAGUGGGGAAUAUUGCACAAUGGGCGCAAGCCUGAUGCAGCCAUGCCGCGUGUAUGAAGAAGGCCUUCGGGUUGUAAAGUACUUUCAGCGGGGAGGAAGGGAGUAAAGUUAAUACCUUUGCUCAUUGACGUUACCCGCAGAAGAAGCACCGGCUAACUCCGUGCCAGCAGCCGCGG